rnacentral:rRNA from 1 species
CGCGCAGGCGGUCGUUCAAGUCGGAUGUGAAAGCCCCCGGCUCAACUGGGGAGGGUCAUUCGAUACUGAUCGACUCGAAGGCAGGAGAGGGAAGCGGAAUUCCCGGUGUAGUGGUGAAAUGCGUAGAUAUCGGGAGGAACACCAGUGGCGAAGGCGGCUUCCUGGCCUGUUCUUGACGCUGAGGCGCGAAAGCUAGGGAGCAAACG